rnacentral:tRNA from 1 species
GGCGGAUGUAGCCAAGUGGAUCAAGACAGUGGAUUGUGAAUCCACCAUGCGCG